CAGCAGCUGCAGCUGUGUGGCAGCAGGGUUACUUUGGUCUUUUCACCUCCCAUACUUAUCCCCAACACCCCAGCACGACCCCAAGAGCUGAGGUAUGGUUGCUGGAGCUCAGGGUAUCAUCUUCUCCACUCUCUCUCUCUAGGGUUCUCUCUCUCUACGAGUAAAGUCGCCGUUUGCGCCGAUUUCGCGCCGCUCUCGUCGCUCGCUGUUUAGGUGGACUUGGGGCCAGCUUUUAAAAGGGAUUCCAGCAGCUAGAGGUGAGAUUUUUAGCUGUGAAUUGAUCCCCUUAGACCAGGGAUGAUCUAAUUUGAAGCUUGCUUGAGCAGGUUUCUGAACCUUAUUGAAUCGAAUUGGUGAUCUUGGGAACUGGUUUGGAAGGUGUUCUAACAAGGGCGGGAAUUCAACUGACCUUUGGGUCAUCUUUGGUUGGCUUUGGCAAGCCUUUCGAGACUUAAUUUGAGCGGAGUUGAGGUCUAUUGGAGUUGACUGUGGGACAUAGUAAUAGAGCCAUCUACUGAAGAGGUUAGGGAU